rnacentral:lncRNA from 1 species
AUGACAUCACUGGAGAAUCCUAUUAGACUUUUAGAGAACUACCACCAGCUUUGUAGACGCCUCUGCCAUCAGGUACCCUGUACUAUCAGCGGUGGUCAACCCCACCGUGUUCUUCGACAUCGCUGUGGAUGGCGGGCCCUUGGGACGCGUCUCCUUCGAGCUGUUUGUAGACAAGUUUCCAAAGACAGCAGGAAACUUUCAUGCUCUGAGCACUGGAGAGAAAGGAUUAUGGUUAUAAGGGUUCCUGCUUUCACAGAAUUAUUCCAGGAAUGGCAAGACCAGCAAGAAGAUCAGCAUUGCUGACUGUGGACAACUCGAAUACGUUUGACUUGUGUUUUAUCUUAAUCACCAGACCAUUCCUUCUGUAGCUCAAGAGAGCACCCCUCCACCCCAUUUGCUCUCAAUAUCCUAGAAUGUUUGUGCUCUUACUGCAGUUCCCUCUGGGUUCCAUGUUUUCCUUGUUCUCUUCCAUGCCUAGCUGGAUUGCAGAGUUAAGUUUAUGGUUAUGAAAUAAAAACUAAAUAACAACAAAAAAAGAACUACCAAUUCUUAAACUCUUCCAAAAUAUUGAAAAGGAGGAAACAUUUUCAAACUCAUUCUAUAAGAGCAGCACCACCCUAAUGCCAAAAUCAGAAAAAGAUACAAGAAAGAAAACUACUACAGGCCAAUACCCCUGAUGAAUAUUGACAUAAAAAUCUUCAACAAAACAUUAGUAAAUGAAAUUCAACAAUGUAUUAAAAGUAUUACAUAUUAUGAUUUAGUGGGAUUUAGUUUGAACAUGAAAAUUCAUCAAUGUAAUACAUUAGCAGAUUAAUACAGAAAAACUUGAAAAAAUUUAAUAUUCUUUCAUGGUAAAAACAAACUAAGAAUAGAAAGAUUUUACUUCAACUUAAUUGUGGCCAUAGGUAAAGGGCCCACCACUAACAUCAUACUCAAAAUGGCAAAAAGCUAAAACCAUUUUCUUAAAAUCAGAAACAAAGUAAGGAUCCUUGUUCUCACCACUUCUACUCAACAUAAUACUCAAAAUCCUGUCCAGAACAAUAAGGAAGAAAAA